AGGGCAAAAAGCGGGUACCAUGGCACGGCACGUUAUUAGUGACUGACUUGAGAUCUGGUUGCUGAACGUGCACUUUUUUUAAAUAAAUUUGGCGCAACACCAUCAAAAUACUAAAAAAAACUGUGCGUGAAUCCAUGAUUGAUAAAUUCCCCCCAAAGUACCUAUUUUUCCGGGCCUGUUGUGUAAGCGAGCGUUUAAUGACUUCUUCAGAAUGGCUUCCUGAGUUUGUUUCCCUGUCAUAUGUGGGAGGUCACCGUACUCCUACAUAACAACUCCCGGAUAGAUGAAUUUAAUGUUGUUCAAUUCCUCCUACUCAAUAUCCGCCCCCUCCACAUUGCAUCAGCGCAGUUCUUUAUCUCCAUGGGAACCAUUACUUGUGAUGACCUCAUCUGAUGGAACCACGUUUUUCCCCGAUUGUCUUACUUAAAAUGUAACCCCUUAGCUGAUGAUAAGCUGGAACAUAGGAACAGCUUUUCUUUAUUUAUUUUUUUCUUAUAUAACUUUUUCUUUUUUUUGUUUUCUUAUAUAACUUUAUGUGCUUUUAGGCUGCUAGUAAACAUAGAUUUUUUUUAAAUGGAUAAUGUCUCUUUAAAAUGAUGCCGGGGUCAAGACAAUAGCUAAGCACCUGCUCUUCCUUUUGAACCUCAGAUAUUCAAGGCUAUGAAAGAAAAAUAUAAUUUUAUGUAUACAGCUGUCCCAUCUCCCAUGGUGGAGUACAAUGGUGGUAUUUAGUGAUCAUGGUUCCAGUCUAUGCGAGUUAUGGGGAUGUAAUUAUCUGAAGCUGGUAAACAUGAAGAACUCGGGAGAUCUUGGUUUUGCAGAAGCCCAGCUGCUUGCUUCAGCCAACGUUGAUUAACAAAUAAGAAAAAGAAAGUUAUUGGUUUAAGAAAAAAGUUUGCGCUAAAAGCCCUGUAUUAGUGUUUCGUACAUUUGGUGUGUGGGCGUUUCACCAGUCAGGCGUUUCAGGUAGAGUGUCGUCCCUGGAUUUGGGAUAAGGGCCAUGGUGAAUAUUUGAAUAGAACCAGACGUGAAGAAGCAUGGCAUGAGAUUGCAGUAGCCUUAUUUGACAACUUUGAUCAAAUGUCUUCUUCAAUUCAGAAUGAGAUUUUAAAGGACAUCAGAAACCGAUGGAAAUCUGCAAGCGACUAUUUUGUGAAGGGUAUCAAGAAAGCAGAAAAAAGUGGGUCAGCUGGUGGCAAAAGGAAAAAAAUACCCAAUGAGAACCAACUUCAAUUUUUAUGCCCUAACAGAGUUUUCAGACUAACUUCAACUUUCAGGCACCAUCAAAUACACAACAAGAUGCAGAUGAAGAGCCAAGGUUUGAGCCAGUACGUUCAGACACACCUUUGGAAUCUGAAGCACCAGACCCAUCCAAUCCGUUGGAAUAUUUUGACCAACAUCUGGAUGUAGAGGAGGAUGUGUCUAACCUUAGCAGUGAUUAGCCCCCCAGUAGUACACCUACACCAGCUGCUGGUGAGAUUGAAGAGAUGGAAGAAGCCACAAACAUCCCUUCUUCACAAACAACGACAAGACCACCCACAGAACGUAGAUCCCUCCGAAUAACUGAUAGUCAGCUUGAGGUUGAAAGUCAAGCUCUAUAAUUUAUUCGGAGGGUUGACAGCAGUGAUGACAGUUCUAAUUUUGGUUAUGAAAUGGCAUCUUGCUGCCGUAAAGUGCCUCUUGACCACCAAAGCCAUUUUAAAGCAUACUGUCACGCUGUUGCGCAAGUCUUUCUUUCCCCCCAGGCCCUGCCUCCAUUAGAGGAUAUGAUAAAAAAUGUGCACAUCACAGCUGGACACAGGGCCCCCAGCCCUCCACCACCUGCACACAAUAUUUCCACACAAACCGAGGGUUUUUAUGUGGGUAUUUACAACCCCCCGCCUUCUUGGUCCUCUUCUGGGGUUUACCCCUACCAUCCUCCCUUUCAGACACAAUACCCUAGUAGCAGUGUAAUUAGCCACCACAACCCCUCUGCAUCAUCUGCAUUGGAGUCUUUUUCCUCAGAACCCACAUAUCACAAUCUGUGAUUUUUCCCAUGAGCAUCAUUGAAGUUGGUCCACACAUUUUCUUGUUGCAUUGUUUGUACAUUUUAUGUCCAGAUAUUUAUCUUGUAAAAAUAUAUUUUGAAUGCAUUGUUGCUUUCAAAUGUUAAAAAAUGUUUAUAAAGUGUAAUUUUAUGGCUAGUUCGCCAAAUUUUCA